UUCUGCGCAGCUUAUUACACACAGUGUCACACACGUCCUCUCCUCAAAACAAAAACCUGUCUUUAAUUAACGGUACAGUCUCAUACACCUGUUUAACCACAUCACAAGUCACAGCAACUACACUGCUCACAUUAUUCCAAUAUUAAAACAUUCUAUCAGCAGAGCGAAAAUAUGUGAUGUCAUUUCCUGCAUUAUAUAGAGAGGGAGAUCAGUUCAGUUUAAUUGAACCUCCUCCCACUGUACUAACUCCUAACAGCAGGAGUCCAACAUGAUCACAGCUCUCCUUAUUCUGGCACUCUGUCUUUUUUCUGGUCAAGUGGAUGGAAGUGGUGUUUUCCAGAUGCCUGAUAUGAUCUGGGGUUCUCCAGGGAACUCUGUAGAAAUGAACUGCAGUCACAAUAAGGGUUUCAACUACAGGCAGAUGUACUGGUUUAAGCAGCUUCCAGGGGAGGGAAUUACACUCAUCGUAUUCACAUCGGUUGGUGCUGAACCAGAUUAUGGGGAAUUCAGUAAAGACAAGUAUGAAGCAGUUAAGACUGUAGCUGAGAGUGGCUCUUUAACAGUGAAGAAUCCAGGAGACCAUGCUCUGUAUUUCUGUGCUGUGAGUCAACACUGUGGUGCAAAGUCACAACAGCACUGAACAAAUACUGAAAGAACUAAAGUGGAUAUUAAUUGGGUCUGUA